rnacentral:piRNA from 1 species
UUCAUAGCACAUGACGUCCAAAGAAU